GAUGAACGCUGACAGAAUGCUUAACACAUGCAAGUCAACUGUGGCGGACGGGUGAGUAACGCGUAAAGAACUUGCCUCACAGAUAGGGACACCAUUUGGAAACGAAUGCUAAUACCUGAUACUGUGAGAGAGCUUUGCGUCCCAUUAGCUAGUUGGAGAGGUAACGGCUCCCCAAGGCGAUGAUGGGUAGCCGGCCUGAGAGGGUGAUCGGCCACAAGGGGACUGGGAAACGGCCCUUACUGCUACGGGAGGCAGCAGCGGGAAAUAGUGGAAAAUGGACCAAAGUCUGAUCCAGCAAUUCGGUGUGCACGAUGAAGUUUUCGGAAUGUAAAGUGCUGUCAGUUGGGAAGCAGUACCAACAGAGGAAGUGACGGCUAACUACGUGCCAGCCGCCGCGGUAAUAC
rnacentral:rRNA from 1 species